CGCAAGCCUGAUGCAGCAACGCCGCGUGAGGGACGACGGCCUUCGGGUUGUAAACCUCUUUUAGCAGGGAAGAAGCGAAAGUGACGGUACCUGCAGAAAAAGCGCCGGCUAACUACGUGCCAGCAGCCGCGGUAAUACGUAGGGCGCAAGCGUUAUCCGGAAUUAUUGGGCGUAAAGAGCUCGUAGGCGGUUUGUCGCGUCUGCUGUGAAAUCCGGAGGCUCAACCUCCGGCCUGCAGUGGGUACGGGCAGACUAGAGUGCGGUAGGGGAGAUUGGAAUUCCUGGUGUAGCGGUGGAAUGCGCAGAUAUCAGGAGGAACACCGAUGGCGAAGGCAGAUCUCUGGGCCGUAACUGACGCUGAGGAGCGAAAGGGUGGGGAGCAAACAGGCUUAGAUACCCUGGUAGUCCACCCCGUAAACGUUGGGAACUAGUUGUGGGGUCCAUUCCACGGAUUCCGUGACGCAGCUAACGCAUUAAGUUCCCCGCCUGGGGAGUACGGCCGCAAGGCUAAAACUCAAAGGAAUUGACGGGGACCCGCACAAGCGGCGGAGCAUGCGGAUUAAUUCGAUGCAACGCGAAGAACCUUACCAAGGCUUGACAUAUACGAGAACGGGCCAGAAAUGGUCAACUCUUUGGACACUCGUAAACAGGUGGUGCAUGGUUGUCGUCAGCUCGUGUCGUGAGAUGUUGGGUUAAGUCCCGCAACGAGCGCAACCCUCGUUCUAUGUUGCCAGCACGUAAUGGUGGGAACUCAUGGGAUACUGCCGGGGUCAACUCGGAGGAAGGUGGGGAUGACGUCAAAUCAUCAUGCCCCUUAUGUCUUGGGCUUCACGCAUGCUACAAUGGCCGGUACAAAGGGCUGCAAUACCGCGAGGUGGAGCGAAUCCCAAAAAGCCGGUCCCAGUUCGGAUUGAGGUCUGCAACUCGACCUCAUGAAGUCGGAGUCGCUAGUAAUCGCAGAUCAGCAACGCUGCGGUGAAUACGUUCCCGGGUCUUGUACACACCGCCCGUCAAGUCAUGAAAGUCGGUAACACCUGAAGC
rnacentral:rRNA from 1 species